AGAUUAUCCUUUUCUACUUCUUCCUUUACUUUUAAGGAAGAUCAAGACAAGGAUAACAUCUUUUUUGCGGUUGUUGCAGAGGAUUUGAGGAGCAAAUGGGGAAGAAGGGUUGGUUUUCUAUUGUGAAGAAAGUCAUAGGCCCUUGUUACAAGGUUAAGAAAGCCAAGAGAUCCCAAAAAUCAAAAUCAAAUCCCAAAAAGCAAUGGCAUGGAAAUCAAAUGAGGUUGGAUACAUACUCAUCUCAAGGAC